AACCUAGCACACCUGCGGUGUGUACCUGCGGAGGGAUCAUUACCUAGAGUUGUAGGCUUUGCCUGCUAUCUCUUACCCAUGUCUUUUGAGUACCUUACGUUUCCUCGGUGGGUUCGCCCGCCGGUUGGACAAAACUUAAACCCUUUGUAGUUGCAAUCAGCGUCUGAAAAAACUUAAUAGUUACAACUUUCAGCAAUGGAUCU
rnacentral:misc_RNA from 1 species